GUGAGAGAAAGUUGAAAAGAACUUUGAAGAGAGAGUUCAAAAGUACGUGAAACCGUUCUGGGGUAAACGUGAGAAGUCCGAAAGGUCGAACGGGGAGAUUCACGUCCAUCCGGCCACUGGCCUCCGCUUCCGGCAGAUGGGGCCGGCCGCCCGCACGGAGCAAUCCGCGACGGGGUCGUGUCCGGUUAUCUUUCCACUCGCCGAGGGGUGGAGCCGUUCCAGUGUGCGGUGGGCCGCACUUCUCCUCUAGUAGGACGUCGCGACCUGCUGGGUGCCGGCCUAAGGUCCGGGUGCGAGUCUGUCCUUCCGCGGGCUUCGGUUCGUGUUCGUUGGGCAGAGCCCCGGUGCCCUGGCCGGCUGCUCGGCGGUACAUGUCGAGGAGUCGAUUCGCCACUUUGUGGGCGCCCAGGGCCCCCGGCAAGCGUGUGYGGUUCUUCCCGGAUGGCGGUCCUACCUGGCCCGGCUCCGGACCCGCGCCGCUGUUGGCUCGGGUGUGUCCUCGGGAGGAAUGAUCGCUCCAGUCAGCGGCGCUUCAGCUUUGGACAAUUUCACGACCCGUCUUGAAACACGGACCAAGGAGUCUAACAUGUGCGCGAGUCAUUGGGCUCUACUAAACCUAAAGGCGCAAUGAAAGUGAAGGUCUCGCCUUGCGCGGGCCGAGGGAAGAUGGGGCCUAACCGGCCUAGCCGGCGGCCUCCGCAUUCCCGGGGCGUCUCGUCCUCAUUGCGAGGUGAGGCGCACCUAGAGCGUACACGUUGGGACCCGAAAGAUGGUGAACUAUGCCUGGCCAGGACGAAGUCAGGGGAAACCCUGAUGGAGGUCCGUAGCGAUUCUGACGUGCAAAUCGAUCGUCCGAGCUGGGUAUAGGGGCGCAAGACUAAUCGAACCAUCUAGUAGCUGGUUCCCUCCGAAGUUUCCCUCAGGAUAGCUGGUGCUCAUACGAGUCUCAUCCGGUAAAGCGAAUGAUUAGAGGCCUUGGGGCCGAAACGACCUCAACCUAUUCUCAAACUUUAAAUGGGUGAGAUCUCCGGCUUGCUUGAUAUGCUGAAGCCGCGAGCUUUAAAACUCGGAUCGGAGUGCCAAGUGGGCCAUUUUUGGUAAGCAGAACUGGCGCUGUGGGAUGAACCAAACGCCGAGUUAAGGCGCCCGAAUCGACGCUCAUGGGAAACCAUGAAAGGCGUUGGUUGCUUAAGACAGCAGGACGGUGGCCAUGGAAGUCGGAAUCCGCUAAGGAGUGUGUAACAACUCACCUGCCGAAGCAACUAGCCCUGAAAAUGGAUGGCGCUGAAGCGUCGGGCCUAUACUCGGCCGUCAGUCCGGCAGUCAUGGUCGGUCCUUGCGGCCGGCCGCGAAGCCCUGACGAGUAGGAGGGUCGCGGCGGUGAGCGCAGAAGGGUCUGGGCGUGAGCCUGCCUGGAGCCGCCGCCGGUGCAGAUCUUGGUGGUAGUAGCAAAUACUCCAGCGAGGCCCUGGAGGACUGACGCGGAGAAGGGUUUCGUGUGAACAGCCGUUGCACACGAGUCAGUCGAUCCUAAGCCCUAGGAGAAAUCCGAUGUCGAUGGGGGCCUCAAUUACCGACCAUGGUUUAUUGGUUGGCCCCCGUUGGGCGAAAGGGAAUCCGGUUCCUAUUCCGGAACCCGGCAGCGGAACCGAUACAAGUCGGGCCCCUCAUCUGAGAAGCUCGUCGGGGUAACCCAAAAGGACCCGGAGACGCCGUCGGGAGAUCGGGGAAGAGUUUUCUUUUCUGCAUGAGCGUUCGANUUCCCUGGAAU
rnacentral:rRNA from 1 species